UCCCUGAGACCCUUAACCUGUGAGGACGCCCAGAGGUCACAGGUGAGGUUCUUGGGAACU
rnacentral:pre_miRNA from 1 species